rnacentral:rRNA from 3 species
UAUACUGCAAGUCGAGCGGACUUUUAAAGCUUGCUUUUGAAAGGUCAGCGGCGGACGGGUGAGUAACACGUGGGCAACCUGCCUGUAAGACUGGGAUAACUUCGGGAAACCGGAGCUAAUACCGGAUAAUAUAAGGAACCUCCUGGUUCUUUAUUGAAAGAUGGUUUCGGCUAUCACUUACAGAUGGGCCCGCGGCGCAUUAGCUAGUUGGUGAGGUAAUGGCUCACCAAGGCGACGAUGCGUAGCCGACCUGAGAGGGUGAUCGGCCACACUGGGACUGAGACACGGCCCAGACUCCUACGGGAGGCAGCAGUAGGGAAUCUUCCACAAUGGACGAAAGUCUGAUGGAGCAACGCCGCGUGAGCGAUGAAGGCCUUCGGGUCGUAAAGCUCUGUUGUUAGGGAAGAACAAGUGCGAGAGUAACUGCUCGCACCUUGACGGUACCUAACCAGAAAGCCACGGCUAACUACGUGCCAGCAGCCGCGGUAAUACGUAGGUGGCAAGCGUUGUCCGGAAUUAUUGGGCGUAAAGCGCGCGCAGGUGGUCCUUUAAGUCUGAUGUGAAAGCCCACGGCUCAACCGUGGAGGGUCAUUGGAAA